UUUUUCCCUGUGCAUGAAAGAGUGACCAGAGUGUGAAGAUUCUGAAAAACCGAGAUGGCACUUCCAGGAACAUAAUGUAUUGUUUUGUCAGCCUCUGGAAUCUGCUCAAAUGCCCUGGGAAGUUCGGACAAAGGACCCGCUUCGGGAAAGCCGUAUUCCUGGUCGUAGUGCUGGAAGGGGACCCCGUCUUAAUCUCCACACGAGAGCCUGGGUCCGAGGAUGCUGACAGGAGCUCAUCCAGAGUAUCUGCCCCCACGAGUGGGAAAGGACCUGUCUCCUGGCAUGGGGGGGGGCAUCCAGAGAAGCAGGAAAGACUGCAUUACACACAUCGUUCAACACUGACUAGUUUACAACCCACUUCAGAAUAGCCUCUUGAUCUAAUGAUAUAUUGCAACAAUGUUUUGUUUGUUAUCCUUUUAUAAAGGUAAAAAUGUGAAGUCAACUUUCAUCAUGCAAAAUAAAGCCACAAUUAAUCAUAAUCAGCAUGAGAAAAUGUAACAUUUGAAUUAAAAUAGUGC
ensembl:lncRNA